GGUGUUUCACCAGCUUGCGGUAGAAACAGUUUCGAGUUUUUAGUUAAGGUGAGGAAACUUCAGAAGCCUGUUUUUCUCUCUUUCAGUUCAACAGUCUAUUUUGGGGAUUUUAAGCCAUGCUGUGCUUGGUUGAGCUGAGCCUGUGUGGCAUUUGUCUAGGAGUAGGGGACUCUAAUGGCAGUUACAAUCCCACAUUUCAGAUGCCAUGUACCAUCACCAAUCAGCAUUACGGAACUGCCUCAGUGACGGCACAGGAUCCUUCCACGUAGACUCUGCCCACAUACCUGAACCCACCCGCAGCAAUGGCUCUGCCCUGCCCUCAUCCAAGCUCUACACAAGUGACUGAUAGUUCCGCUCAAAGGAGUGAUGGGUCAACAUUGUUAGUCAUGUAAUCUUCUUACUAUUGAAUAAAAGUACUCCAGAUUUACCUUUAUGUUGCCGUGACACUUAAGGUGCUUUGCAGCUCUGAAAGAUCCAAAGAAUCAAUAAACUGAAGCUGAAAAAUUUAUCCAUG
ensembl:lncRNA